AUGGGGGACUUUUACUUUCUUUUCUUACUCCACUGUAUUUUUCCUGUUUUUAUAGGCCUGUGUGAUUUCAUAAUUCAAGAAGGUCGAUGUAGAUACUCAGAUAUUUUAGUUUACUUCUUCUCUGGAAAAUCCCAGGAUUUGUAGAUCCUCCCAGAGAAAACAUCAAUCCUAAUGAACUUUUCAAACUUCUCUGUGAACAAUGUAAAAGCUAGAUUCCAGCUUUAAGCACCACUAUACCAGACUGCCACCCCUGAAGCAACCUCUUUUUCCUUGGUUGGUGGUUGUAGCCUCCCUGAAGUUAGAAGAUGUGUGGGACCUUGCCUCCAAGAUUCUGAGUACAAAACUGCCUCCUAGGUAAACCUACC